CUCGAAGCAGCUGGUCAUGUCCACGCCCUCUGCAGGCCUCGUGUCCCCCUCGCUGUCGCCUGCCGAUUUGGUGGCUCCUCUCAUAACACACAGCCUCCUGUGUAUGUUUUUACCCUACAAACGCUCUCUAACCGGUCCAGAGGUCAGAAACAGCCGCAGUCUCCUACCUCUAUUGCUUCUCAAGGGAAAAGCACAGCCUGGAAUGAUGAGGAGCCCCCACGCCUUCUCAGUCUCCUGCUUAAAGAAGAAACCCAAACGCUCUGUGAAUGGGACAUGUGCUCAGAGGCGUCUGCAGUUGAGGCGGGUGACGUUCUGGGGUCCCUGGGAAGUUGUCAUCACCCUGCUGACAUGAGUGUGGAUGUUGAGGCCUGGAGGGUGACAGGUCACACAGCCAGAGCCUGGCAGCAGCGCAGGGGCGGAACCCCGGGUCCCCUGUGGGCCUGUGCCCUCUCGGCCAGCCUUGCAACGCGCAGCUAACGCUCUUCAAGAAAACAUUCUCUGGAGGAAUCCUGCUGGUCCUGAAGUUUUUGGCCUUGAGAAGGUCAUCACAGACACCCCUCCCCUCGGGCCAGGCCUGCUGUCUUGUCUAAGGGGCCCUAUUUUAUCUGAGGUGAUUUGCAACUCUGAAACACACAUACAUAAAAUAGAAAUACCGUCCUCACUAUUAACCUAGAGACCCCCAUCCCUACCCCUCCCUAUGAAUGCUUUUUCAUAAACAUGCCGCAUUCUGAGGAAUCCGAAAGACUCCAGCGUAGGACAGACCGCUGUUCCAAGCCACUGGGAAAGGGGAAACUGGUGACUGAGCGGCGCCCGUCAGAGCCAUUAAAACGUGAGGGAAAACUGCACCUUACGGCACACGAACCCUUAGAAGAGGCAAAACACUACUGAGUUAAUGC
rnacentral:lncRNA from 1 species